rnacentral:snRNA from 1 species
CUCUUAGAUCGAUGUGGUGCUCCGGAGUUCUCUUCGGGCCAGGGCCUAAGCCGCGCCAGGCGAGGGACGGACAUUCAUGGCGAAUGGCGGCCGCUCU